UACGUAGGGUGCGAGCGUUGUCCGGAAUUACUGGGCGUAAAGAGCUCGUAGGUGGUUUGUCGCGUUGUUCGUGAAAACUCACAGCUCAACUGUGGGCGUGCGGGCGAUACGGGCAGACUGGAGUACUGCAGGGGAGACUGGAAUUCCUGGUGUAGCGGUGGAAUGCGCAGAUAUCAGGAGGAACACCGGUGGCGAAGGCGGGUCUCUGGGCCGAUAUUGACGCUGAGGAGCGAAAGCGUGGGGAGCGAACGGG
rnacentral:rRNA from 1 species